GAUGAACGCUGGCGGCGUGCCUAAUACAUGCAAGUCGAGCGAACAGAUGAGAAGCUUGCUUCUCUGAUGUUAGCGGCGGACGGGUGAGUAACACGUGGGUAACCCACCUAUAAGACUGGGAUAACUCCGGGAAACCGGGGCUAAUACCGGAUAAUAUUUUGAACCGCAUGGUUCAAUAGUGAAAGACGGUUUCGGCUGUCACUUAUAGAUGGACUCGCGCCGUAUUAGCUAGUUGGUAAGGUAACGGCUUACCAAGGCGACGAUACGUAGCCGACCUGAGAGGGUGAGCGGCCACACUGGAACUGGGACACGGUCCAGACUCCUACGGGAGGCAGCAGUAGGGAAUCUUCCGCAAUGGGCGAAAGCCUGACGGAGCAACGCCGCGUGAGUGAUGAAGGUCUUCGGAUCGUAAAACUCUGUUGUUAGGGAAGAACAAAUUUGUUAGUAACUGAACAAGUCUUGACGGUACCUAACCAGAAAGCCACGGCUAACUACGUGCCAGCCGCCGCCGUAA
rnacentral:rRNA from 1 species